rnacentral:rRNA from 1 species
UUUAUCAGAGAGUUUGAUCCUGGCUCAGGAUGAACGCUGGCGGCGUGCUUAACACAUGCAAGUCGAACGGGAAAUACUUUAUUGAAACUUCGGUCGAUUUAAUUUAUUUCUAGUGGCGGACGGGUGAGUAACGCGUGGGUAACCUGCCUUAUACUGGGGGAUAACAGCCAGAAAUGACUGCUAAUACCGCAUAAGCGCACAGAACCGCAUGGUUCGGUGUGAAAAACUCCGG